rnacentral:rRNA from 1 species
GACGGAGGGUGCUAGCGUUGUUCGGAAUUACUGGGCGUAAAGGGCGCGUAGGCGGCCCUGUCAGCCGGGUGUGAAAGCCCGGGGCUCAACCCCGGAACGGCACCCGAGACGGCGGGGCUGGAGACCGGGAGAGGAGGGUGGAAUAGCCAGUGUAGAGGUGAAAUUCGUAGAUAUUGGCUGGAACACCGGUGGCGAAAGCGGCUCUCUGGCCCGGUUCUGACGCUGAGGCGCGAAAGCGUGGGGAGCAAACAGG